AUGCUUUAUACUUUUAAAAAAAUAAGAAGAAAAACCAUGCAGCUCGCUUCGAUUUAUGCCGUGGUUCACUUCUCCCAAAAAAUUAAUUUGCAUUCAUGUGUUAAAAAUCGAUGCAGCUCACUAAGAAAACCUUUGCGGUGCACUUUGCAAAACAAAGGAGUUCACUUUGUAAAAAAAAUGUAUAGAGGAGUUCAUUUUUUCUAUUUUUUGAGGAUUUGUUUUUUGCAAAUUUGUAAGGACAUGGUGUAUAAUUUGUUAAAAUUGAUGCAGCUUAUUAAGAAAACCUUUGCGGUGCACUUUGCAAAACAAAGGAGUUCACUUUGUAAAAAUAUGUAUAGAGGAGUUCAUUUUUUUAUUUUUGGAAGAAUUUUUUUUUUGCAAAUUUGUAAGGACAUGGUGUAUAAUUUGUUAAAAUCGAUGCAGCUCAUUAAGAAAACCUUUGCGGUGCACUUUGCAAAACAAAGGAGUUCACUUUGUAAAAAAAUGUAUAGAGGAGUUCACUUUUUAUUAUUUUUAGAGGAAUUGUACACCAUUUAG
rnacentral:rRNA from 1 species